CCCUUAGAUGUUCUGGGCCGCACGCGCGCUACACUGACGAUGGCAACGAGUUUUUCCUUCGCCGAAAGGUGUAGGUAAUCUUUUGAAACAUCGUCGUGCUGGGGAUAGAUCAUUGCAAUUUUUGAUCUUGAACGAGGAAUUCCUAGUAAGCGCGAGUCAUCAGCUCGCGUUGAUUACGUCCCUGCCCUUUGUACACACCGCCCGUCGCUACUACCGAUUGAAUGGUUUAGUGAGGACUCCUGAUUGGCGCCGCCGCCCCGGCAACGGAGCAGCGGACUGCUGAAAAGUUGUUCAAACUUGAUCAUUUAGAGGAAGUAAAAGUCGUAACA
rnacentral:rRNA from 1 species